rnacentral:rRNA from 1 species
GAUGAACGCUGGCGGCGUGCUUAACACAUGCAAGUCGAACGGAGAAGCGCCAGCUUGCUGGAGUGGAUCAGUGGCGAACGGGUGAGUAACACGUGAGCAACCUGCCCCUGACACUGGGAUAACAGCCGGAAACGGCUGCUAAUACCGGAGAUGCACCAUUAACGCAUGUUCUGUGGAGGGAAAAGUUUGUCUGGCGGGGAUGGUCUCGUGGCGUAUCAGCGUGUUGGUGAGGUGAUAGCUCACCAAGGUGUCGACGGGUAGCCGGCCUGAGGGGGUGACCGGCCACACUGGGACUGAGACACGGACCAGACUCCUACGGGAGGCAGCAGUGGGGAAUCUUGCACAAUGGGCGAACGCCUGAUGCAGAAACGCCGCGUGCGUGAUGACGGCCUUCGGGUUGUAAACCUCUUUUAGCAGGGAAGAAGCGAGAGUGACGGUACCUGCAGAAAAAGCGCCGGCUAACUACGUG